rnacentral:rRNA from 1 species
GACGAACGCUGGCGGCGUGCCUAAUACAUGCAAGUAGAACGCACAGUUUAUACCGUAGCUUGCUACACCAUAGACUGUGAGUUGCGAACGGGUGAGUUACGCGUAGGUAACCUGCCUGGUAGCGGGGGAUAACUAUUGGAAACGAUAGCUAAUACCGCAUAAUAUUAAUUAUUGCAUGAUAAUUAAUUGAAAGGUGCAAUUGCACCACUACCAGAUGGACCUGCGUUGUAUUAGCUAGUAGGCGAGGUAACGGCGCACCUAGGCGACGAUACAUAGCCGACCGGCGAGGGUGAGCGGCCACACUGGGACUGUGACACGGCCCAGAGGCCUUCAGGAGGCAGCAGGAGUGAAACGUCGGCAAGGGGCGAAAGUCUGACCGAGCUACGCCGCGGGAGGGAAGAAGGUUGUCGGGUCGGAAAGCUCUGUUGUAGGGGAAGAACGGGCGUGAGAGUGGAAAGUUCACACUGUGACGGUAUCUGACCAGAAAGGGACGGCUAACUACGUG